GUGGGGAAUAUUGGACAAUGGGCGCAAGCCUGAUCCAGCCAUGCCGCGUGAGUGAUGAAGGCCUUCGGGUUGUAAAGCUCUUUAGCCGAUGAUUAUAAUGACUGUAGUCGGAAAAUAAGCCCCGGCUAACUUCGUGCCAACAGCCGCGGUAAUACGAAGGGGGCGAGCGUUAUUCGGAAUCACUGGGCGUAAAGCGUGCGUAGGCGGCUUUGCAAGUUGGGAGUGAAAGCCCAGGGCUCAACCCUGGAAUUGCUCUCAAAACUGCAAGGCUCGAAUUCGGGAGAGGAUAGCGGAAUUGUCAGUGUAGCAGUGAAAUGCGUAGAUAUUGACAGGAACACCAGUGGCGUAAGCGGCUAUCUGGACCGAUAUUGACGCUGAGGCACGAAAGCGUGGGGAUCAAACAGGAUUAGAUACCCUAGUAGUCC
rnacentral:rRNA from 1 species